UGGCUCAGAGGUGAAGGGCACUGGAUGCUCUUCCAGAGGACCUGGGUUCAAUUCCCAG
rnacentral:tRNA from 1 species